CAAGACUCUUUCUCCCCCUCUUCCUCCCUCCCUCCUUCCUGCCAUCUUAGUCUCAGGGCUAUUGCCUCAGCCCCUCCUCCUCCCUGGAAAGGCCCUUAGGCCACCAUGUCCCCCAGACAGCCAGGUGUCACCCUCUGCUUGGUGUCCAGCAAAGCCCAGUCCCACCCAUUCCCUUCGUAGCGGGUUUGACUGCAUUGCCUAUCCUCUGUGGAGUCCCAGGUCUGGGGACCUGGAGCCCAGAGCUGCCCUGGAAAGUGCCAGAGAUCCGCUGUUCCACAUGGGAGACCUGGAGACAGCGCUGGCAUCAGACGCCUCUCGUGGCCAGAGGGACGUCCCCAGUGGCCUUCCCGACCUUCGCCAAGGACCCCUGAGCCCCGUUCAAGCCUGCAGCGAGUCAGGGGUUCCAGUCGAGAGUUGCUGCCUCUGCCUCCCUGGGUGACAGCCGCGUGUGCGGCCUCGAGGUGCGGAGGGUGCCGCCUGCCGAGGCCACCGUGGGCGCUUGCCGCAACACAUUGGGAAGUCUCGGGGAGCAGCCACUGGCAGCACCCAGCCUGCAGCCGGGACCCACAGACAGGCCUCCAAAGUGCAGGGCAGAGACCACAGCCAGGAGGGCUUCAGGCCGAGAGAUCAGUCAAUACGAGCCUGAAAUAGACUGGGGCCAGAACAUCUUCCAGCCAGGCGGGGACGAGGCAGGUGCCCUCCCUCUGCAUCUCUUUGUAGGAAGUGUCUCCUGCGUGCGACCCGCCAUGCCCCUCGAUCUCAUCCUCCUGUCCCAUGAUAGCGCGGCAAGGCAGUGACCGAUGGGUUUGGUAAAACUGGGG
rnacentral:lncRNA from 1 species